CACGCGCACGACACCAAUUAAGCUACGUUAUCUUUGAGGCGAGGUCGUCGAUGACCCAAAGCGGCUCAAAUGCGUUUAACUUCGUUUGUGAUUCACUUAGAAAUGGAUUUAAGAAAAACAAGCGACCAGGUGACCUGAUGUCGGUGAGUCAACAACAGGGUGGAGAUGUAAUGCUCUGCAUACACAAAUGUAUAGGCUUGAUGGGGUGUCCAGAUGGAACACAAACCGGGCUCAGCAGACUCUGAAUAUGAGUGUUACAUCACACACAAGGAUUUAUGACGUUUGUCUGAUGUCCAGUGUGAAUGUCCUCAGCAACAGAGUCACACUUCCGCCAGAGUUUACACCCCCGGGGAAACCUACCGGUGAGCUUAUUGCGGUGGAGCACUUGCUGGCCCAGUCCAAUAGAGGAGAUCUGCCAGGGAUGCUGGAGGGAGUUCAGGAGGAUGAGUCUCCUGAUGUGACAAUACUUCACUGAUAUUCUUUUCCAGUC